rnacentral:lncRNA from 11 species
UACCAUUUGGAGCAAAGCAGUGAGCAGAGUGUCAGCAUUAUGUCUCGCCAGCCCUCCAGAAAGCCUGGAAGAUCACCCCACAUCUUGGGUAUGACUGUUGAUAAGGCCACACAAGAUGUACGACUGGGAAACACGGUACUUCCAGAUAUGAACAGCCUGGCCCUGGGAUGAGGAAAGCUGACUGCAUCCCAAGAAGACAAAACCUAAACCCAGAACAUCCAAGAUUGCACUACCUGAGGCCAAGGCCAAAAUGUCAUACUGUACUUAUUCUUCAUACAGAAGGCCAGUGAGACUUUCAACAAUUAUGAGUCCAC